AAGACGGCGAAGGGGACGCCUAAAGACUUCAUAGUUAUAUUUAUAGUUCUUAUUUCGAGUAUCUCUUUUAGUUAGUUUGUUCUUUCAUGUUUUGAGUACGUUUUGGUUAUUGUAUAAGGGAUGUUAAUCAAAUUUUUAUUACGCUUCCGCAUUUGAGAUUUUUAAUACAUACAUUUCAUUUAAAUUUCCGGGGCCGUUACA
rnacentral:lncRNA from 1 species